UUGGAAAAAAAAUGGUAAGACUAGUGAGAAAAUAAUGACGAUUGCAUGAGUGGAGUGUGAAAUUUACAUUUAGAGCUUGUUUGGUUCAUGAUUGAAAUGAGAAUGAGAAAUAAAUUGGUUGUGUUAGAAUGAGAAAUGGAAUGACGAAUUAUUCAAAAAUAUUUAGUUUAGUAUUAGAAUGAAAAUUAAAAUGUACAGUUAGAACGCCUAGGAUUUUGAGAGAGGGAGACGAGAGUGACGAAGACAAAAGAUGGAUAUGUGUUUGCGAGAGAAGGCUCUUAGUGGUUUAUUGUAGAAUGAGUUAGAAU
rnacentral:lncRNA from 1 species